AGCGAACGUUUGCGGCGGGCUUAACACAUGCAAGUCGAACGAGAAUCCCUUCGGGGAGGAAAGUGGCGCACGGGUGCGUAACACGUGGAUAACCAACCCAUUGGUUUAGGACAACACCGGGAAACUGGUGCUAAUACCAGAUGUGUCGCAGCUGUCUUCAGGCGGUUGCGAGAAAGGCCCGCAAGGGUCGCCAACGGACGGGUCCGCGUCCCAUCAGCUAGUUGGUGAGGUAAUGGCUCACCAAGGCAAAGACGGGUAGCUGGUCUGAGAGGAUGGAUCAGCCACACGUAGGAACUGAGACGACGGUCCAGACCUCCGUACGGGAGGCAGCAGGUGGGAAUUAUUGCGACAAGUGGGACGAAAGCCUGACGCACGCCACGCCGCGUGAGCGA
rnacentral:rRNA from 1 species